rnacentral:rRNA from 1 species
UACGGGGGGGGGCAAGCGUUGUUCGGAAUUACGUGGGCGUAAAGGCUCGUAGGCGGCCAACUAAGUCAGACGUGAAAUCCCUCGGCUUAACCGGGGAACUGCGUCUGAUACUGGAUGGCUUGAGGUUGGGAGAGGGAUGCGGAAUUCCAGGUGUAGCGGUGAAAUGCGUAGAUAUCUGGAGGAACACCGGUGGCGAAGGCGGCAUCCUGGACCAAUUCUGACGCUGAGGAGCGAAAGCCAGGGGAGCAAACGGGG